rnacentral:rRNA from 1 species
CCUACGGGAGGCAGCAGUGGGGAAUAUUGGACAAUGGGGGCAACCCUGAUCCAGCCAUGCCGCGUGUGUGAAGAAGGCCCUCGGGUUGUAAAGCACUUUCAGUGAGGAAGAACGCCUGGUGGUUAAUACCCAUCAGGAAAGACAUCACUCACAGAAGAAGCACCGGCUAACUCCGUGCCAGCAGCCGCGGUAUUACGGAGGGUGCGAGCGUUAAUCGGAAUUACUGGGCGUAAAGCGCGCGUAGGUGGCUUGAUAAGCCGGUUGUGAAAGCCCCGGGCUCAACCUGGGAACGGCAUCCGGACCUGUCAAGCUAGAGUGCAGGAGAGGAAGGUAGAAUUCCCGGUGUAGCGGUGAAAUGCGUAGAGAUCGGGAGGAAUACCAGUGGCGAAGGCGGCCUUCUGGACUGACACUGACACUGAGGUGCGAAAGCGUGGGUAGCAAACAGGAUUAGAUACCCUAGUAGUC